AAACCAGCACCUCAAGUGGUCAGGAGGAUUAUUGGGCCUAAAGCAUCCGUAGCCUGUUCUAUAAGUUUCCGGUUAAAUCCAUUAGCUCAACUAAUGGGCCGCCGAAAAUACUGUGGAACUAGGGAGUGGGAGAGGUAGACGGUACUCGGGAGGAAGGGGUAAAAUCCUUUGAUCUCUUGAUGACCACCUGUGGCGAAGGCGGUCUACCAGAACACGUUCGACGGUGAGGGAUGAAAGCUGGGGGAGCAAACCGGAUUAGAAACCCCAGUAGUCC
rnacentral:rRNA from 1 species